rnacentral:rRNA from 1 species
CUCGGAGUUGAUCCUGGCUCAGGAUGAACGCUGGCGGAAUGCUUUACACAUGCAAGUCGAACGGUAGAGGGGGCAACCCCUCGAGAGUGGCGAACGGGUGAGUAAUAUAUCGGAACGUGCCCAGUCGUGGGGGAUAACGUAGCGAAAGUUACGCUAAUACCGCAUACGAUCUACGGAUGAAAGCGGGGGACUCGCAAGACCUCGCGCGAUUGGAGCGGCCGAUAUCAGAUUAGGUAGUUGGUAGGGUAAAGGCUCACCAAGCCAACGAUCUGUAGCUGGUCUGAGAGGACGACCAGCCACACUGGGACUGAGACACGGCCCAGACUCCGUACGGGAGGCAGCAGUGGGGAAUUUGGACAAUGGACGCAAGCCUGAUCCAGCCCAUGCCCGCGUGCAGG